rnacentral:rRNA from 1 species
AAAAGCUCGUAGUUGAACCUUGGGCCUGGCUGGCCGGUCCGCCUCACCGCGUGUACUGGUCCGGCCGGGCCUUUCCCUCUGUGGAACCCCAUGCCCUUCACUGGGUGUGGUGGGGAAACAGGACUUUUACUGUGAAAAAAUUAGAGUGCUCCAGGCAGGCCUAUGCUCGAAUACAUUAGCAUGGAAUAAUAGAAUAGGACGUGUGGUUCUAUUUUGUUGGUUUCUAGGGACCGCCGUAAUGAUUAAUAGGGACAGUCGGGGGCAUCAGUAUUCAAUUGUCAGAGGUGAAAUUCUUGGAUUUAUUGAAGACUAACUACUGCGAAAGCAUUUGCCAAGGAUGUUUUCAUUAAUCAGGAACGAAAGUUAGGGGAUCGAAGACGAUCAGAUACCGUCGUAGUCUUAACCAUAAACUAUGCCGACUAGGGAUCGGACGGUGUUAUUUUUUGACCCGUUCGGCACCUUACGAGAAAUCAAAGUGCUUGGGCUCCAGGGGGAGUAUGGUCGCAAGGCUGAAACUUAAAGAAAUUGACGGAAGGGCACCACCAGGGGUGGAGCCUGCGGCUUAAUUUGACUCAACACGGGGAAACUCACCAGGUCCAGACACAAUGAGGAUUGACAGAUUGAGAGCUCUUUCUUGAUUUUGUGGGUGGUGGUGCAUGGCCGUUCUUAGUUGGUGGAGUGAUUUGUCUGCUUAAUUGCGAUAACGAACGAGACCUUAACCUGCUAAAUAGCCCGUAUUGCUUUGGCAGUACGCUGGC